AUUGAACGCUGGCGGCAUGCCUUACACAUGCAAGUCGAACGGCAGCACGGGGGCAACCCUGGUGGCGAGUGGCGAACGGGUGAGUAAUACAUCGGAACGUGCCCAGUAGUGGGGGAUAGCCCGGCGAAAGCCGGAUUAAUACCGCAUACGACCCACGGGUGAAAGCGGGGGAUCGCAAGACCUCGCGCUAUUGGAGCGGCCGAUGUCAGAUUAGGUUGUUGGUGGGGUAAAAGCCACCAAGCCGACGAUCUGUAGCUGGUCUGAGAGGACGACCAGCCACACUGGGACUGAGACACGGCCCAGACUCCUACGGGAGGCAGCAGUGGGGAAUUUUGGACAAUGGGCGCAAGCCUGAUCCAGCCAUGCCGCGUGCGGGAAGAAGGCCU
rnacentral:rRNA from 1 species